UGUCAGUAGAGAUCAAGCUAUUAUAAGACGUAUUUAUUAUCAUAAUAUUGAAUAACAUUACAAUAUCUAACAACAUAAUACAAUAUAUAGUAACAUACUAACGAUACAUAAUAUGUAAAAACCACAACGAAAAGUUCGACUGACUACUCGUUCAAUGACUUUCAUAGUCGACUUCACUAAAUAUAUCAAACCAACUUCAAUCUAUAUUACGACUCCAAAUAAAACCUUAAUGUAAAAUACAAUAUAUUGAUUAAACUCAUGCAUAGUACUCUUUUUUCUCUCUACUUGGAAGGUGGUGGAGACAAGAAUGGAAUGUUUCCAAUAGAAGGGAUAUUUGGAAAGGAGGGAAUUGUUGGGAAAGGUACCUUAGGCAGGCCUGGAAUGGAAGGCAUAGGGGGAAGAACUGAAGGGUUAGGAAGAUUUGGAAUUGUAGGGUUUGGCAGUGAUGGAAUUGUAGGCAGACCUGGAAUAUUUGACUGCAGGAGACGACGAGCAGCAUUGCAGUUUUCUGUGUUAAUGGAAAUGGCAAAAAGAAUCAAAAUGCAAGUGUAAAUGAUUCUGGCCAUGAUUAAUUGAAGAUUGAAAACUAGGGUUUCUUGAAGAAGUAAUUGAAGAAGAUAAGUUUUGAGUUUGAUGAUG
rnacentral:lncRNA from 1 species